AGACCCGAAACCCGGUGAUCUAGCCAUGGGCAGGUUGAAGGUUGGGUAACACUAACUGGAGGACCGAACCGACUAAUGUUGAAAAAUUAGCGGAUGACCUGUGGCUGGGGGUGAAAGGCCAAUCAAACCGGGAGAUAGCUGGUUCUCCCCGAAAGCUAUUUAGGUAGCGCCUCGUGAAUUCAUCUCCGGGGGUAGAGCACUGUUUCGGCUAGGGGGCCAUCCCGGCUUACCAACCCGAUGCAAACUGCGAAUACCGGAGAAUGUUAUCACGGGAGACACACGGCGGGUGCUAACGUCCGUCGUGAAGAGGGAAACAACCCAGACCGCCAGCUAAGGUCCCAAAGUCAUGGUUAAGUGGGAAACGAUGUGGGAAGGCCCAGACAGCCAGGAUGUUGGCUUAGAAGCAGCCAUCAUUUAAAGAAAGCGUAAUAGCUCACUGGUCGAGUCGGCCUGCGCGGAAGAUGUAACGGGGCUAAACCAUGCACCGAAGCUGCGGCAGCGACACUGUGUGUUGUUGGGUAGGGGAGCGUUCUGUAAGCCUGUGAAGGUGUGUCGUGAGGCAUGCUGGAGGUAUCAGAAGUGCGAAUGCUGACAUAAGUAACGAUAAAGCGGGUGAAAAGCCCGCUCGCCGGAAGACCAAGGGUUCCUGUCCAACGUUAAUCGGGGCAGGGUGAGUCGACCCCUAAGGCGAGGCCGAAAGGCGUAGUCGAUGGGAAACGGGUUAAUAUUCCCGUACUUGGUGUUACUGCGAAGGGGGGACGGAGAAGGCUAUGUUGGCCGGGCGACGGUUGUCCCGGUUUAAGCGUGUAGGUGUGUGUUCCAGGUAAAUCCGGUUCACUUUAACACUGAGGCGUGACGACGAGGCACUACGGUGCUGAAGCAACAAAUGCCCUGCUUCCAGGAAAAGCCUCUAAGCAUCAGGUAACAUCAAAUCGUACCCCAAACCGACACAGGUGGUCAGGUAGAGAAUACCAAGGCGCUUGAGAGAACUCGGGUGAAGGAACUAGGCAAAAUGGUGCCGUAACUUCGGGAGAAGGCACGCUGACACGUAGGUGAAGUGAUUUACUCAUGGAGCUGAAGUCAGUCGAAGAUACCAGCUGGCUGCAACUGUUUAUUAAAAACACAGCACUGUGCAAACACGAAAGUGGACGUAUACGGUGUGACGCCUGCCCGGUGCCGGAAGGUUAAUUGAUGGGGUCAGCGCAAGCGAAGCUCCUGAUCGAAGCCCCGGUAAACGGCGGCCGUAACUAUAACGGUCCUAAGGUAGCGAAAUUCCUUGUCGGGUAAGUUCCGACCUGCACGAAUGGCGUAAUGAUGGCCAGGCUGUCUCCACCCGAGACUCAGUGAAAUUGAACUCGCUGUGAAGAUGCAGUGUACCCGCGGCAAGACGGAAAGACCCCGUGAACCUUUACUAUAGCUUGACACUGAACAUUGAGCCUUGAUGUGUAGGAUAGGUGGGAGGCUUUGAAGUGUGGACGCCAGUCUGCAUGGAGCCGACCUUGAAAUACCACCCUUUAAUGUUUGAUGUUCUAACGUGGACCCGUGAUCCGGGUUGCGGACAGUGUCUGGUGGGUAGUUUGACUGGGGCGGUCUCCUCCUAAAGAGUAACGGAGGAGCACGAAGGUUGGCUAAUCCUGGUCGGACAUCAGGAGGUUAGUGCAAUGGCAUAAGCCAGCUUGACUGCGAGCGUGACGGCGCGAGCAGGUGCGAAAGCAGGUCAUAGUGAUCCGGUGGUUCUGAAUGGAAGGGCCAUCGCUCAACGGAUAAAAGGUACUCCGGGGAUAACAGGCUGAUACCGCCCAAGAGUUCAUAUCGACGGCGGUGUUUGGCACCUCGAUGUCGGCUCAUCACAUCCUGGGGCUGAAGUAGGUCCCAAGGGUAUGGCUGUUCGCCAUUUAAAGUGGUACGCGAGCUGGGUUUAGAACGUCGUGAGACAGUUCGGUCCCUAUCUGCCGUGGGCGCUGGAGAACUGAGGGGGGCUGCUCCUAGUACGAGAGGACCGGAGUGGACGCAUCACUGGUGUUCGGGUUGUCAUGCCAAUGGCACUGCCCGGUAGCUAAAUGCGGAAGAGAUAAGUGCUGAAAGCAUCUAAGCACGAAACUUGCCCCGAG
rnacentral:rRNA from 2 species